rnacentral:rRNA from 1 species
GAUGAACGCUAGCGGCAGGCCUAAUACAUGCAAGCUGAACGGUAAAUGUUGUAGCAAUACAAUAUGAGAGUAGCGUAAGGGUGCGUAACACGUAUGCAAUCUACCCGGCAAACUGGAGGAUAGCUCCCCGAAAGGGGAAUUAAUACUCCAUAAGAUCACGAGAGGGCAUCUGAUUGUGAUUAAACUCCAAGGGGUUGCGGAUGAGCAUGCGUCUGAUUAGUUAGUUGGUGAGGUAACGGCUCACCAAGACGAUGAUCAGUAGGGGAACUGAGA